rnacentral:piRNA from 1 species
UGUGCUAGUGCUGAAGACGUGCUCACUGCA